rnacentral:rRNA from 1 species
CCGCCCGUCACACCAUGGGAGUGGGCUGCAAAAGAAGUAGGUAGUUUAACCUUCGGGGGGACGCUUACCACUUUGUGGUUCAUGACUGGGGUGAAGUCGUAACAAGGUAGCGCUAGGGGAACCUGGCGCUGGAUCACCUCCUUA